rnacentral:rRNA from 1 species
UGGGGGAUAUUGCGCAAUGGGGGGAACCCUGACGCAGCAACGCCGCGUGAAGGAAGAAGGUCUUCGGAUCGUAAACUUCUGUCUUCAGGGACGAAAACUGACGGUACCUGAGGAGGAAGCUCCGGCUAACUACGUGCCAGCAGCCGCGGUAAUACGUAGGGAGCGAGCGUUGUCCGGAAUUACUGGGUGUAAAGGGAGCGUAGGCGGGAUUGCAAGUCAGAUGUGAAAACUAUGGGCUUAACCCAUAGACUGCAUUUGAAACUGUAGUUCUUGAGUGAAGUAGAGGUAAGCGGAAUUCCUGGUGUAGCGGUGAAAUGCGUAGAUAUCAGGAGGAACAUCGGUGGCGAAGGCGGCUUACUGGGCUUUUACUGACGCUGAGGCUCGAAAGCGUGGGGAGCAAACAGGAUUAGAUACCCUGGUAGU